AUAUAAAGUGUUAACUUCCAAGCCAGUUUUCAAUAUUUCCCUAAGUUGUUUUUUAACACACUUUGCAUUUUUUCUUUCGAGCGGAUUGUCAUUAUCUACCAUGAAGAAACUUCCACUAUUAGUAGUUUGCUUACUAAUUGGGAUCCAAGUCAUCGCUGGAUGCGAUUAUCAGGGAAUCGUGGACUGUACAGGUAUUCUUACUUCCGUCACACCGGAUCAGCUUUCCCAAGACAUAUGUGGGUACUGGCAUCAAUUUUCUUCAUGCAUGAACCUUCUCAGAAGAUCAUGCUCCGGAAAUACGAUCUGGCAUAGCUAUCGAAGGCAAUUUAACUGGCUUAGAGAUGAAUGUACAUCGAACGUAUCAGAGUGACGAUCCCCCUGGAAAUACUGGUGUUGCCAAUUAUAACUUGUAUCAUAUAGAUUCCUUCCUCAGGCAAAGGAAUCCCACUAUCGUGAAUAUAAAAAUUGGUACUGACAUGAUUGACGAUAGCUUUUCUCAAGAUUUUUAAUCUCGUUCAGGUCUAUUCCUGGGUUUAUUUUUUGUAAUAUUAUGGACCAGAACAAUCGAAGUCCAACAGAAAGCAACUAGGCAUUUCAAAGAUUUAACAAUUCAUUUGCAGUAGAAUAUAUCAAUGAGAAAAUAUUAACUUACAGUAAUCUAAAUGUAUAUGUAGUUGACCAUUCGGCUGAAUUCACACAUAAGAAAAACCCUGUUUAUAGUGCUGUCGAAAUCGAUGGUUAAGUCGUACAUAUAUGUAGUAAUGUAGUACACAAUGUAAUUCUAUAAUUAGAAUGGUUAAGUCGUACAUAUAUGUAGUAAUGUAGUACACAAUGUAAUUCUAUAAUUAGAAUGGUUAAGUCGUCCAUAUAUGUAGUAAUGUAGUACACAAUGUAAUUCUAUAAUUAGAAUGGUUAAGUCGUACAUAUAUGUAGUAAUGUAGUACACAAUCUAUAAUUAGAAUGGUUAAGUCGUACAUAUAUGUAGUAAUGUAGUACACAAUGUAAUUCUAUAAUUAGAAUGGCUCUUAAUUACAAGUAAUUCUAUAGUAUAUUCCUGUUAAAACAUAAUUCUAGAAAGCUCCGUUCUACACAUUAGAAUGGCUCUUAAUUACAAGGAAUUCUAUAGUAUAUUACUGAUAAAACAAUUCUAGAGAGCUCCGUUCUACACAUUAUUUACAGGUUACUGAAUCUAGUUCGCAAAUACCAUUUAAAACUAAAUGAAAUUUCCAGAGGCUUAGAACUAGGUCACAUGUGACAAUAAACGAUAUCAAGUACACAUGUACCACACAACACUCCUUCCUCAACAAAGGUUUGAAUCUCAAUGAAAACUUCAUUCUCCAAAAUUCAACAAACGAAUGCAUGUGCAUCACAUGAAAGCAAAAAAUGAAACUGAAAUACAGUAUAUUCAUAAUACUAAUGACAGUAUAUGUAAUAACAUUGUAUAUGCCUUUCAUGUACUCUUGUAACAAUAAACUUUAUCUUGUAUUUGA